rnacentral:rRNA from 1 species
UACGGAGGGGCGAGCGUUAUUCGGAAUUAUUGGGCGUAAAGGGCGCGUAGGCGGCUUGAUGUGUCAAAGGUGAAAUCCCUCGGCUCAACUGAGGAACUGCCUUUGAAACUGUCUGGCUUGAGGCCGGGAGAGGGUAGCGGAAUUCCCAGUGUAGCGGUGAAAUGCGUAGAUACUGGGAGGAACACCGGUGGCGAAGGCGGCUACCUGGACCGGUUCUGACGCUGAUGCGCGAAAGCGUGGGAUGAGCAAACAGG